rnacentral:rRNA from 1 species
CAUGGUUGUCGUCAGCUCGUGUCGUGAGAUGUUGGGUUAAGUCCCGCAACGAGCCGCAACCCUCGACCUUAGUUGCCAGCAUUCAGUUGGGCACUCUAAGGUGACUGCCGGCUAAAAGUCGGAGGAAGUGGGGAUGACGUCAAAUCAUCAUGCCCCUUAUGACCUGGGCUACACGCGUGCUACAAUGGGCGGUACAAAGGGUCGCGAACCCGCGAGGGGGAGCCAAUCCCAAAAAGCCGCUCUCAGUUCGGAUUGCAGGCUGCAACUCGCCUGCAUGAAGUCGGAAUCGCUAGUAAUCGUGGAUCAGCAUGUCACGGUGAAUACGUUCCCGGGUCUU